rnacentral:rRNA from 1 species
CCAGAGAACUUUCCAGAGAUGGAUUGGUGCCUUCGGGAACUCUGAGACAGGUGCUGCAUGGCUGUCGUCAGCUCGUGUUGUGAAAUGUUGGGUUAAGUCCCGCAACGAGCGCAACCCUUAUCCUUUGUUGCCAGCGGUCCGGCCGGGAACUCAAAGGAGACUGCCAGUGAUAAACUGGAGGAAGGUGGGGAUGACGUCAAGUCAUCAUGGCCCUUACGAGUAGGGCUACACACGUGCUACAAUGGCGCAUACAAGAGAAGCGACCUCGCGAGAGCAAGCGGACCUCAUAAAGUGCGUCGUAGUCCGGAUUGGAGUCUGCAACUCGACUCCAUGAAGUCGGAAUCGCUAGUAAUCGUAGAUCAGAAUGCUACGGUGAAUACGUUCCCGGGCCUUGUACACACCGCCCGUCACACCAUGGGAGUGGGUUGCAAAAGAAGUAGGUAGCUUAACCUUCGGGAGGGCGCUUACCACUUUGUGAUUCAUGACUGGGGUGAAGUCGUAACAAGGUAGGCGUAGUGCU